rnacentral:rRNA from 1 species
AAGCCAUGCAUGUCUAAGUAUAAGCAAUUAUACAGUGAAACUGCGAAUGGCUCAUUAAAUCAGUUAUCGUUUAUUUGAUAGUACCUUACUACUUGGAUAACCGUGGUAAUUCUAGAGCUAAUACAUGCUUAAAAUCCCGACUGUUUGGAAGGGAUGUAUUUAUUAGAUAAAAAAUCAAUGCCUUCGGGCUCUUUGAUGAUUCAUAAUAACUUUUCGAAUCGCAUGGCCUUGUGCUGGCGAUGGUUCAUUCAAAUUUCUGCCCUAUCAACUUUCGAUGGUAGGAUAGUGGCCUACCAUGGUUU